AUUGAACGCUGGCGGCAUGCCUUACACAUGCAAGUCGAACGGCAGCACGGGAGCAAUCCUGGUGGCGAGUGGCGAACGGGUGAGUAAUAUAUCGGAACGUGCCCAGUCGUGGGGGAUAACGCAGCGAAAGCUGUGCUAAUACCGCAUACGAUCUAAGGAUGAAAGCGGGGGAUCGCAAGACCUCGCGCGAUUGGAGCGGCCGAUAUCAGGUUAGCUAGUUGGUGGGGUAAAGGCCCACCAAGGCGCCGAUCUGUAGCUGGUCUGAGAGGACGACCAGCCAGGCUGGAACUGAGACACGGACCAGCCUCCUACGGGAGGGAGCAGUGGGGAAUUUUGGACAAGGGGCGCAAGCCUAAUCCAGCAAUGCCGGGUGCAGGAUGAAGGCCUUCGGGUUGUAAACUGCUUGUGUACGGAACGAAACGGCCCUUUCUAAUACAGGGGGCUAAUGACGGUACCGUAAGAAUAAGCACCGGCUAACUACGUGCCAGCCGCCGCCGUAAUAC
rnacentral:rRNA from 1 species